GACGAACGCUGGCGGCGUGCCUAAUACAUGCAAGUCGAACGCUUUUUCUUUCACCGGAGCUUGCUCCACCGAAAGAAAAAGAGUGGCGAACGGGUGAGUAACACGUGGGUAACCUACCCAUCAGCGGGGGAUAACACUUGGAAACAGGUGCUAAUACCGCAUAAUACGAGAGGUCACAUGACCUUUCGUUGAAAGGCGCAAUUGCGUCACUGAUGGAUGGACCCGCGGUGCAUUAGCUAGUUGGUGAGGUAACGGCUCACCAAGGCGACGAUGCAUAGCCGACCUGAGAGGGUGAUCGGCCACACUGGGACUGAGACACGGCCCAGACUCCUACGGGAGGCAGCAGUAGGGAAUCUUCGGCAAUGGACGAAAGUCUGACCGAGCAACGCCGCGUGAGUGAAGAAGGUUUUCGGAUCGUAAAACUCUGUUGUUAGAGAAGAAUAAGGUGGAGAGUGGAAAGUUCCACCCUUGACGGUAUCUAACCAGAAAGCCACGGCUAACUACGUGCCAGCCGCCGCAGUAACAC
rnacentral:rRNA from 1 species